rnacentral:rRNA from 1 species
GACGAACGCUGGCGGCGUGCUUAACACAUGCAAGUCGAACGGAAAGGCCUUUUCGGUGGUACUCGAGUGGCGAACGGGUGAGUAACACGUGGGUGAUCUGCCCUGCCCUCUGGGAUAAGCCUGGGUAACUGGGUCUAAUACCGGAUAGGACCGCACUUUAGUGUGUGUGGUGGAAAUUUUUUUCGGUGUAGUUUGAGCCCGCGGCCUAUCAGCUUGUUGGUGGGGUAAUGGGCUACCAAGGCGGGGCCGGGUAGCCGGACUGAGCGUUUGGGAGGCGACAUUGGGACCGAGAGAAGGCCGAGACAGGGACGGGAGGGAGAAGGGGGGAAGACUGAACAAUGGGCGCAAGGAGGAUGAAGAGAGGCCGCGUGGGGGAUGACGGUGUUAGGGGGGAAAAAUACAUGUGUAAGGGACGAAGCGUGUUGUGACGGUACCUGGAGAAGAAGCAACGGCUAACUACGUG